rnacentral:lncRNA from 1 species
UUCCUUCUCGGACCAUAGUGAGAGAGUACGUUGAUUAGCACUACUACUUAUUCUAUUUAUUUCAACCACCAAAUCAAUCAAAUCACUUUUACUCAUAUCCAAUAAAUGCAAUGAAGAUUCACUAAAGAGAUGUAAGUUAUGUAAAACUUUAGAUCGAGAACUUACCUCAUCAUUUGAAGUGGAGACAUCCGAUGACGAA